GUCCCUUCAACGACAUCCGAUAAAAUUGGAACGAUACAGAGAAGAUUAAAAUGGCCCCUACGCAAGGAUGACACGCAAAAUCGAGAAAUGGUCCACUUAACA
rnacentral:snRNA from 1 species